rnacentral:rRNA from 1 species
GCAAGAUUAAAACUCAAAGGAAUAGACGGGGACCCGCACAAGCGGUGGAGCAUGUGGUUUAAUUCGACGAUACGCGAAGAACCUUACCUGGCCUUGACAUAGAAAGAACUUUCCAGAGACGGAUUGGUGCUAGUUUACUAGAGCUUUCAUACAGGUGCUGCACGGCUGUCGUCAGCUCGUGUCGUGAGAUGUUGGGUUAAGUCCCGCAACGAGCGCAACCCUCGUGUUUAGUUACUAACAGUUCGGCUGAGGACUCUAAACAGACUGCCUGGGUAACCAGGAGGAAGGUGAGGACGACGUCAAGUCAUCAUGGCCCUUACGGCCAGGGCUACACACGUGCUACAAUGGGGUAUACAAAGAGCUGCAAUACGGUGACGUGGAGCAAAUCUCAUAAAAUAUCUCCCAGUUCGGAUUGAAGUCUGCAACUCGACUUCAUGAAGUUGGAAUCGCUAGUAAUCGUAGAUCAGCAAUGCUACGGUGAAUACGUUCCCGGGUCUUGUACUCACCGCCCGUCACACCAUGGGAAUUGAAUUCAUUCGAAGCGGGGAUGCUAAAAUAGCUACCUUCCACAGUGGAUUUAGUAACUAGGGUGAAGUCGUAACAAGGUA